rnacentral:tRNA from 1 species
GGGCAAUUACUCAAGUGGUCUAAGAGGAUAGCUUGGAAGGUUAUUAGGAGUUAACAGCUCGCAAGGGUUCGAAUCCCUUAUUGCCCGCCA